CUCAGAUAUUUCAAUUUCUACCAAUCUGCUGCGAAACAAACACUGUGACUAAGAGAUUUUUCUUCCUCUUUGCACAACUGCCAAAAAGAAAGAAACAUGCAUAUAUAGAAGAAAAAUUGAAACUCUUUAGCCCUGAUUGCACAAGACAUUUGAUGAAACAGACUACUUAAAUAUGUUCCUUAACAUGAAACUGCUCAUAUUUGUUUUAAUCUAUUCUGUUUAUACUUUUGCAGCCGGAGCAGCUGAAGAUGAAGAACCGGGGGCUAUAAAGAGUAAUGGCUAUUUCGUAUUCCAAGGUCCGAAUGGAAAACCUAUUAGAGUCAAAUAUAGAACAGAUGACAAUGGUUUCCAACCUAUACUUGACUAGAAUUAUCAUCAUUCGAUCUACACAAAUGCUCGGCUGUGAAAAAGUAUUUAAAGCACACUUAAAUUGGAUAUUUUUCACCUUAUGGUUUAAAGCUUUCAUUUAUUCUAAUAAUUGCAUGAAAUGUAUAAUGAAUAACUUUAUAAUGAAUUAAUAAAAUAAUAUAAUCGA